rnacentral:rRNA from 1 species
UUAAUUGAAGAGUUUGAUCAUGGCUCAGAUUGAACGCUGGCGGCAGGCCUAACACAUGCAAGUCGAGCGGUAACAGGGGAAGCUUGCUUCUCGCUGACGAGCGGCGGACGGGUGAGUAAUGUAUGGGGAUCUGCCCGAUAGAGGGGGAUAACUACUGGAAACGGUGGCUAAUACCGCAUAAUCUCUUAGGAGCAAAGCAGGGGACCUACGGGCCUUGCGCUGUCGGAUGAACCCAUAUGGGAUUAGCUAGUAGGUAAGGUAAUGGCUUACCUAGGCGACGAUCCCUAGCUGGUCUGAGAGGAUGAUCAGCCACACUGGGACUGAGACACGGCCCAGACUCCUACGGGAGGCAGCAGUGGGGAAUAUUGCACAAUGGGCGCAAGCCUGAUGCAGCCAUGCCGCGUGUAUGAAGAAGGCCCUAGGGUUGUAAAGUACUUUCAGUCGGGAGGAAGGCGUUG